GACGGUGCGAGGCAUUGCAUUUUCCCCAUUUUACUAUUAAUAGAGAUGAAAAACGCCCGUGACAAAGGGAGUUUCGCAAAGGCCACCGCCACAGAUUCCUGUUUCCAGGCCAGGAGCGGGUGUCUCAGAGGCACCGCUGACGCAACCCUCGCCAUGCUGGGAAGAGUCCCCGCCGCUGGGAGUUUCCGAGCUUCCCGCGAGCGCUAUAAGAUGGGCACGGGCUGUGCAGAAGCUCAGGAGCUUGUGCAUGAGCCCACGCGCUGAGGCUAUGCAGCGAGCUGCGGCGUGCGGCCCUUUUCCUUCGGUGAGUAUUCGCGGCGCGGGGCUGCAGGAGGCCGGAGAGCUGCGCUUGGGGAGCAGCUGCCUCAAAAGCCUCCGAGGUGGCUGCGAGACGGGAAACAGGGCAGGGACAGCGCCGGGCUUCGGGGCUUGUGCUCGUGGACGGUGCCGCUGCUGGGAGUGGGGAUGGGGGCGCUGGGGGUCCGCACCCCCUGUGCUGGCUGUGACCGGCGCUCGGCGCAUCUCUUUGCAGACCUUCUACCCACACAAGGCAGCGUUGAUCCGUGCUUCAGUUCGUAUCAGCAAAACCCAGAGAUCCCAAACUCGUAAAGCAAGUGCGGACCAAGGUCUUUUUGUCCGAUUGGUCUGCUUCCAUGGGUAGAGCCCACAGCCCAGCUUGGAGAGCCACGACAGAGACCUUGCUGACACCGCAUCUCUCUCCCUGCGCACCAUUUCUCAUCACCCACCAGAGAGAACACCAGCCUGGAAGUCGAGGCUCAGUCACUCGCCGUCUUUGGGAAGAAACGGGGGGAGACAGAAAAGGAGGCCGGUGAGAGUUGGCAGCAAUGUUAUCUGCGUCCCAGCUGGCGUGGGACACUUACGGCGGGAGGGAGAGGAGCCGCGCUCUUCCACGUCCCGCCUCAGUGUGUCAUGGUUGGGAGGUACCAAAUAACUCCCGUAAAAACGCUGUCCCGGGUAUGCUCUGCUUUGCACUUCCUCUGGGACAGGAAGUUUGGUAUUUCUGUAAAAUGUUUUCUGUCUGUCUUGUCCAAAACAAUAAAAACACGCAACACCAAA